CUCUCUCUGUCUCACUCUCUCUCUGUAUCACUCUCUCUGUCUCUCUGUCUCUCGCUCUCUAUCUCUCUCCUCUCUCGGUUCCUGAAGUACUUCCCGUUCCAACAGUUUGGUGUGUGUGUGUGUGUGUGUGUGUGUGUGUGUGUGUGUGUGUGUGUGUGUGUGUGUGUGUGUGUGUGUGUGUGUGUGUGUGUGUGUGUGUGUUUUUUGAGAGUGGAUAAGUGUAUGAUUGCAUCAUUAUGCAUGUAACUGUAUUUGUUCAGGAGGUGGCUAAUGACACCACUACCUUAUAAGGGGGAUGUUACCAUACUCUAUCUCUCUCUGUACCUGACUCUAAGUGUGUGUGUGUGUGUGUGUGUGUGUGUGUGUGUGUGUGUGUGUGUGUGUGUGUGUGUGUGUGUGUGUGUGUGUGUGUGUGUGUGUGUGUGUGUGUGUGUGUGUGUGUGUGUGUGUGUGUGUGUAUUGUGCGCGAGCACUGCAUUCAUAACAUUCGUCUUCACAGAUAUCACGUGCCCGCGCUGAGAGAGGCGUGUCCCGGGUUUUUUCAACUGCGAGUCAACGGUGUCGCAGCGAAGAGACUUUCUUUGACUUCCUUUCACCUGAUUAACUUGUUUUAGAAACACUCUAACCUCCGUUUCUUCCCUUACAUUUAAACUUUUACAACUUUAUACCGUAUGGACGCAAUAUAAUCCCGGAGUAGAAACGAUAAGUCUACUAUGGAUGAGGAGAGAGAGGAGGGGGGUCCUACCUCUAAGACCACUCUGUCUGGGGAACAUGGCCGCCGGAGCAAAGCUAAGAGCCCAGAGCAGCAGCAGAGAGCAGACUCCCCUGGACCCAGCUGUGUCUCCAUGAAGAGUGACCAGUCUAUGGAUCAUCCUGUUACCUUUAAAGAUGGAAAUCAGUCUAUUGAGAAGAGCCCAGAGCAGCAGCAGAGAGCAGACUCCCCUGGACCCAGCUGUGUCUCCAUGAAGAGUGACCACUCUAUGAAUCAUCCUGCUGAGUUGAAAGAUGGAAAUCAGUCUAUUGAGAAAAGCCCAGAGCAGCAGCAGAGAGCAGACUCCCCUGGACCCAGCUGUGUCUCCAUGAAGAGUGACCACUCUAUGAAUCAUCCUGCUGAGUUGAAAGAUGGAAAUCAGUCUAUUGAGAAAAGCCCAGAGCAGCAGCAGAGAGCAGACUCCCCUGGACCCAGCUGUGUCUCCAUGAAGAGUGACCACUCUAUGA
ensembl:lncRNA